rnacentral:rRNA from 1 species
UUUAAGGCUGAGACACGACGUCGAGCUACUACGGUAGUGAAGUCAUUGAUGCCAUGCUUCCAGGAAAAGCCUCUAAGCUUCAGAUUGUAAGGAAUCGUACCCCAAACCGACACAGGUGGUCGGGUAGAGAAUACCAAGGCGCUUGAGAGAACUCGGGUGAAGGAACUAGGCAAAAUGGUACCGUAACUUCGGGAGAAGGUACGCUCCUCGCGGUGAAGUCCCUUGCGGAUGGAGCUAUGGGGAGUCGCAGAUACCAGGUGGCUGCAACUGUUUAUUAAAAACACAGCACUGUGCAAAAUCGUAAGAUGACGUAUACGGUGUGACGCCUGCCCGGUGCCGGAAGGUUAAUUGAUGGGGUUAGACUUCGGUCGAAGCUCUUGAUCGAAGCCCCGGUAAACGGCGGCCGUAACUAUAACGGUCCUAAGGUAGCGAAAUUCCUUGUCGGGUAAGUUCCGACCUGCACGAAUGGCGUAAUGAUGGCCACGCUGUCUCCACCCGAGACUCAGUGAAAUUGAAAUCGCUGUGAAGAUGCAGUGUACCCGCGGCUAGACGGAAAGACCCCGUGAACCUUUACUACAGCUUGGCACUGAACAUUGACCCUACAUGUGUAGGAUAGGUGGGAGCUUUGAAACGAGUACGCCAGUAUUCGUGGAGCCGUCCUUGAAAUACCACCCUUGUAGUGUUGAUGUUCUAACUUAGUCCCCUAAUCGGGGAUGAGGACAGUGCCUGGUGGGUAGUUUGACUGGGGCGGUCUCCUCCCAAAGAGUAACGGAGGAGCACGAAGGUGGGCUAAUCACGGUUGGACAUCGUGAGGUUAGUGCAAUGGCAUAAGCCCGCUUGACUGCGAGAAUGACAAUUCGAGCAGGUGCGAAAGCAGGUCAUAGUGAUCCGGUGGUUCUGAAUGGAAGGGCCAUCGCUCAACGGAUAAAAGGUACUCCGGGGAUAACAGGCUGAUACCGCCCAAGAGUUCAUAUCGACGGCGGUGUUUGGCACCUCGAUGUCGGCUCAUCACAUCCUGGGGCUGAAGUCGGUCCCAAGGGUAUGGCUGUUCGCCAUUUAAAGUGGUACGCGAGCUGGGUUUAGAACGUCGUGAGACAGUUCGGUCCCUAUCUGCCGUGGGCGUUGGAAGAUUGAAGGGGGCUGCUCCUAGUACGAGAGGACCGGAGUGGACGAACCUCUGGUGUUCGGGUUGUGAUGCCAAUCGCAUUGCCCGGUAGCUAAGUUCGGAAUCGAUAACCGCUGAAAGCAUCUAAGCGGGAAGCGAGCCCUGAGAUGAGUCUUCCCUGGCGCUUUAAGUGUCCUAAAGGGUUGUUCGAGACUAGAACGUUGAUAGGCAGGGUGUGUAAGCGUUGUGAGGCGUUGAGCUAACCUGUACUAAUUGCCCGUGAGGCUUAACCAU